GACGAACGCUGGCGGCGUGCCUAAUACAUGCAAGUAGAACGCUGAAGAGAGGAGCUUGCUCUUCUUGGAUGAGUUGCGAACGGGUGAGUAACGCGUAGGUAACCUGCCUUGUAGCGGGGGAUAACUAUUGGAAACGAUAGCUAAUACCGCAUAACAAUGGAUGACACAUGUCAUUUAUUUGAAAGGGGCAAUUGCUCCACUACAAGAUGGACCUGCGUUGUAUUAGCUAGUAGGUGAGGUAAUGGCUCACCUAGGCGACGAUACAUAGCCGACCUGAGAGGGUGAUCGGCCACACUGGGACUGAGACACGGCCCAGACUCCUACGGGAGGCAGCAGUAGGGAAUCUUCGGCAAUGGGGGCAACCCUGACCGAGCAACGCCGCGUGAGUGAAGAAGGUUUUCGGAUCGUAAAGCUCUGUUGUAAGUCAAGAACGGGUGUGAGAGUGGAAAGUUCACACUGUGACGGUAGCUUACCAGAAAGGGACGGCUAACUACGUGCCAGCAGCCGCGGUAAUACGUAGGUCCCGAGCGUUGUCCGGAUUUAUUGGGCGUAAAGCGAGCGCAGGCGGUUUGAUAAGUCUGAAGUUAAAGGCUGUGGCUCAACCAUAGUUCGCUUUGGAAACUGUCAAACUUGAGUGCAGAAGGGGAGAGUGGAAUUCCAUGUGUAGCGGUGAAAUGCGUAGAUAUAUGGAGGAACACCGGUGGCGAAAGCGGCUCUCUGGUCUGUAACUGACGCUGAGGCUCGAAAGCGUGGGGAGCGAACAGGAUUAGAUACCCUGGUAGUCCACGCCGUAAACGAUGAGUGCUAGGUGUUGGAUCCUUUCCGGGAUUCAGUGCCGCAGCUAACGCAUUAAGCACUCCGCCUGGGGAGUACGACCGCAAGGUUGAAACUCAAAGGAAUUGACGGGGGCCCGCACAAGCGGUGGAGCAUGUGGUUUAAUUCGAAGCAACGCGAAGAACCUUACCAGGUCUUGACAUCCCGAUGCUAUUUCUAGAGAUAGAAAGUUACUUCGGUACAUCGGUGACAGGUGGUGCAUGGUUGUCGUCAGCUCGUGUCGUGAGAUGUUGGGUUAAGUCCCGCAACGAGCGCAACCCCUAUUGUUAGUUGCCAUCAUUCAGUUGGGCACUCUAGCGAGACUGCCGGUAAUAAACCGGAGGAAGGUGGGGAUGACGUCAAAUCAUCAUGCCCCUUAUGACCUGGGCUACACACGUGCUACAAUGGUUGGUACAACGAGUUGCGAGUCGGUGACGGCGAGCUAAUCUCUUAAAGCCAAUCUCAGUUUGGAUUGUAGGCUGCAACUCGCCUACAUGAAGUCGGAAUCGCUAGUAAUCGCGGAUCAGCACGCCGCGGUGAAUACGUUCCCGGGCCU
rnacentral:rRNA from 1 species